rnacentral:rRNA from 1 species
AACGAACGCUGGCGGCAUGCCUAACACAUGCAAGUCGAACGAGACCUCCGGGUCUAGUGGCGCACGGGUGCGUAACCCGUGGGAAACUGCCCUGGGGUGUGGCAUAACUUCCCGAAAGGGGUGGCAAAACCGGAAAAUAUCUUCGGCACGAAGAUUUAUUGCAAUUGGGUGGGCGAGCGUUGGAUCCGCUUGUUGGUAGGGUAAAAGCCUGCCACGGCGACGAUCCAUAGCUGGUUUGAGAGGCUCAUCAGCCACACUGGGACGGGGACACGGCCCGGACUCCUACGGGAGGCAGCAGUGGGGGAUAUUGGACAGUGGGCGAAAGCCUGAUCCACCUAUGCCGCGUAAGUGAUGAAGGUCUUAGAGUUGUAAAGCUCUUUUACCCGGGAUGAUAAUGACAGUACCGGGAGAAUAAGCACCGGCUAACUCCGUG